GGGGGAAUUUUGGACAAUGGGCGCAAGCCUGAUCCAGCAAUGCCGCGUGCAGGAAGAAGGCCUUCGGGUUGUAAACUGCUUUUGUACGGAACGAAACGGUCUGAGUUAAUACCUCGGGCUAAUGACGGUACCGUAAGAAUAAGCACCGGCUAACUACGUGCCAGCAGCCGCGGUAAUACGUAGGGUGCGAGCGUUAAUCGGAAUUACUGGGCGUAAAGCGUGCGCAGGCGGUGAUGUAAGACAGUCGUGAAAUCCCCGGGCUCAACCUGGGAAUUGCGAUUGUGACUGCAUCGCUGGAGUGCGGCAGAGGGGGAUGGAAUUCCGCGUGUAGCAGUGAAAUGCGUAGAUAUGCGGAGGAACACCGAUGGCGAAGGCAAUCCCCUGGGCCUGCACUGACGCUCAUGCACGAAAGCGUGGGGAGCAAACAGGAUUAGAUACCCUGGUAGUCCACGCCCUAAACGAUGUCAACUGGUUGUUGGGUCUCUUCUGACUCAGUAACGAAGCUAACGCGUGAAGUUGACCGCCUGGGGAGUACGGCCGCAAGGUUG
rnacentral:rRNA from 1 species